rnacentral:rRNA from 1 species
AUCUUCCGCAAUGGACGAAAGUCUGACGGAGCAACGCCGCGUGAGUGAAGAAGGUUUUCGGAUCGUAAAACUCUGUUGUUAGGGAAGAACAAGUGCCGUUCGAAUAGGGCGGCACCUUGACGGUACCUAACCAGAAAGCCACGGCUAACUACGUGCCAGCAGCCGCGGUAAUACGUAGGUGGCAAGCGUUGUCCGGAUUUAUUGGGCGUAAAGCGCGCGCAGGUGGUUUCUUAAGUCUGAUGUGAAAGCCCACGGCUCAACCGUGGAGGGUCAUUGGAAACUGGGGAACUUGAGUGCAGAAGAGGAAAGUGGAAUUCCAAGUGUAGCGGUGAAAUGCGUAGAUAUUUGGAGGAACACCAGUGGCGAAGGCGACUUUCUGGUCUGUAACUGACACUGAGGCGCGAAAGCGUGGGGAGCAAACAGGA